UCCCUUCUUCCGUUUCUUUCCUCGAUAGACUGCCGUUAAACACUAGAACACACCGGUGUCUCCGACUGUCCGUAGAGGUCGGAGGUCGGCAUGAGCGGGGGUAGCCGCAGAACCGCCCGGAACCGGGUGAAGACCUCGCCGGCGGACCUCGACGCCGACGAAUCCCUUUGGAAUCGGGGACCGAUCCAUGGGACUCGAAAGCAGAGGAGCCGUGACCACGGCCCCAUCCGGUUGAUGGAUGUUAACGUCAAAACCCUUCUAGGACUAGGAUUUGGAUUCCUAGCCCUUCUGUUCGUUGCGUUCUUAGUGUACAAUUACCACAGGGGAUCCAAGGAAGAUGAUGCGGUUGAGAAGUUGAUGAGGACUGUCACGCCCUUGCCAGCUCCUAAGAUGAUGGAUCUUCCCCAGUUUGAAGGAGAGCACAAGGAGAGCUUGUAUUGGGGAACCUACCGACCCCAUUUGUACCUUGGAAUUCGCGCCAGAACACCGAGGUCAAUUAUUGCGGGAUUGAUGUGGAUUGGCAUAAAGAAUGGACAGUAUUUUCUCCGUCAUGCUUGCCAAGAUUCCGAUGAACUUAGCACAUAUGGAUGGACAGAUCACAAUGGUCGGGACUAUGGCCGUCAAGUGUUGGUCGAUCAUGGUAUGUCUAUAACAACUAGUUUCUUGAAAGAGAAAGACAAAGGCAGUGGUUAUGGAGGGGACUGGGCUGUUAGACUGGAUGUGCAGAAUAAGGAGUCAAUGUUAGAUGAGAGCACUGUACAUCUUUUUUUCUACAUCGGCGAUGAAGAAGGAAACUUGCUAGGCGUGCGUAGGCAGGAAUUUGGAUCUCAUGAUGCUACUCUUUUGGCAUUUGGGUCACACAAGGAUGUUGGCGGUUGGGAAGUCCAUUUAGAAUCACAAGAGCAUCUCGACAUGCACUUUUCUGGGUACAAAACUCUUCACAUGCACAAUUUAACUGAGCUGGUUCAGGCGACUCUUGCCGUCAAUGCAAGGAGAACCGGGAAUCUUCAGCUGCCAGAUACAUUAGAAGAUUCUUCAAAUAUAAUUGUUUAUCAGAUUUCUGGGAGGCUUCGAGCCAAAAUGGAUAUAGCUUUUGUAUCUGGAACUCAUGUACAGACUUCAAGAGUUGAAGAACGCGUCAAAUCCCUUACAGGAACCAUGUUGACUAGUAGGCUUGAGGCGAAACAAAAGGCUUUUGAAGAAAAGUAUGUUAGAUGCUUUGAUCUGAAGGAUAAGGUUGAUUCUGAAACAAUGAAUGUUGGGAAGGCUGCUAUGGCGAAUCUACUAGGGGGCAUUGGCUACUUCUAUGGCCAAUCCAAAAUUGCCCUGCCAAAAGGGUUCAGUCAAAAAAAUGGCGAUAAAUUCAUUUCUUAUUGGCCAGCUGCACUUUUUACAGCUGUUCCUAGCCGGUCAUUCUUUCCACGUGGUUUUCUAUGGGAUGAAGGUUUCCAUCAGUUGAUUAUUUGGCGCUGGGAUAUCAAUAUAUCCAUGGACAUUAUUGGUCAUUGGUUGGAUCUGAUCAAUUUAGAUGGAUGGAUUCCUCGUGAACAGAUCCUGGGAGCUGAAGCUUUAAGUAAGGUUCCUGAAGAAUUUGUUCUUCAACAUCCAUCUAAUGGGAAUCCACCAACUUUAUUUCUUAUUCUGCAAGACUUGGUGAAAGGUGUGAAGAUGAGCAAGUUUCCAAUGAAAGAAAUCAAUGAGAUUUCUACAUUCCUUGGUAGAGCUUAUACUCGCCUAGAUGCUUGGUUUCAAUGGUUUAAUACUACACAAUCUGGAAAGGAUAUCAACACCUUUUAUUGGCAUGGGAGGGACAAUACAACAACCAAGGAAUUAAAUCCAAAGACAUUGCAAUCUGGAUUGGAUGAUUAUCCACGUGCAUCCCACCCAGGUGAUGAAGAGCGUCACCUUGACAUUAGAUGUUGGAUGCUUCUUGCUGCAGAUUGCAUGCAUUCAAUUGCAAAGUUUACCAGCAUGAAAAAUGAUUUAGAAAAGGAUUAUUACAUGAUGUCUGAGCGACUUUCAAACUUUGAGAUCCUCAAUGAGAUGCAUUUAGAUGAGGUUUCUGGAGCUUAUUUUGAUUUUGGGAACCACACUGAGAAGGUUCGUCUGAGAUGGCAUGAAGUGAGAAGUGCAGAUACUGUGAAACGCGAGCUUGUUCGUGAGACAUUAGAAAGACCCCAGCUGUCAUUAGUUCCCCAUGUUGGUUAUGUCAGCCUUUUCCCUUUCAUGAUGGGGAUCAUUCCAUCUAAGAGUAUUCACAACUACAUUACAUGUUCAGACAUCAUGGAUCCUAGAAAAACAAUUGGAGCUCAUUUCUAACCGCUCAACUUUGUGGACAGACUAUGGUCUGCGUUCUCUUUCUAGAACAAGCUCAUUGUACAUGAAACGCAAUACAGAGCAUGAUCCACCUUAUUGGAGAGGCCCCAUUUGGAUAAACAUCAACUACAUGAUUCUUUCAGCACUCCACCAUUACUCACAAGUGGAUGGGCCAUACAAAGCCAGGGCAGAAACAUUAUAUCAGGAGCUAAGAUCAAACUUGAUACGAAAUAUUGUGCGGAACUACUAUGACACGGGGUUUUUGUGGGAGCAGUAUGACCAAAAGAACAAGGGAAAAGGUAAAGGUGCACGGAUAUUCACUGGUUGGACUUCGCUGGUUCUUUUGAUCAUGGCAGAGGCUUUUCCAAGCUUGCAUCGCUGAGUUCUUGGUAAUCCACAAAUGAAGGGAUCAUCUGGUUGAUUGUCGAAGGAUUGACUACUAUACUGGUGGUCUCCAAACCAAUUGCCGAGAGAUUCCUAUCUGCCUUGAGUCCAUUUACGUAAAAAUGCUACUUGCUACGAUGAAAAGCAGACAAGGUAUCCGAUAUGGGAUUUUCUGCAUCGUCUGAUGACCAUGUUCCAUCUUUAUGUCUGCAGGGUUAAUGAGUUCCAUUCUUCAUGCAACAAUUUUGUAUGGUUACAUUCUUGAAUUAUUAUAUAUGAACAGCUUUCCUGACAAAGAUGACAGCAAUAAGCAACAAAAUUUACCUGACAUUUAGGAUAUUUAUUGGUAGAACCGUAGAAGAAUGAAUUCAUUAGAAGUACAUGUAAUAUUUUUUGCUGCACAAAUUCUAUAAGCCACAGAGACCGAAUAUAAGAUAAAAAUUGGAACUGUGUAGUGAAA